AUGCUCAACUCAAAAUCCUACACCUACCAAUCCCUUCGAGUGAAGCCAUUGGAAAUCUCAUACAGUUCAGUCAAUUUCUUGAGUGACAGAGACAAGGUUCUUUUGGUCUCUGAGGAAUUUGUUCUGACUGAGGAGUUAGAAAUUCGCCUUUGCGGAUUGCCUACAAGUGAGGAACAUGAUAGCCCUGAGGAAUUUGAGCCUCAAAUAUCCGACCGUUGCUAUGCUACGCGACAGCUGUCCCAAAAUAUCUACCCACCUAACGGUCGUAUCACUGAAGGGCAUUUAUGUCUUAUCAUGUCGGGCUGCUCCCUAGGCUAUAAAUAG
rnacentral:rRNA from 1 species